rnacentral:rRNA from 1 species
GAUGAACGCUGGCGGCGUGCCUAAUACAUGCAAGUCGAGCGAAUGGACUAAGAGCUUGCUCUUAUGAAGUUAGCGGCGGACGGGUGAGUAACACGUGGGUAACCUGCCCAUAAGACUGGGAUAACUCCGGGAAACCGGGGCUAAUACCGGAUAACAUUUUGAACCGCAUGGUUCGAAAUUGAAAGGCGGCUUCGGCUGUCACUUAUGGAUGGACCCGCGUCGCAUUAGCUAGUUGGUGAGGUAACGGCUCACCAAGGCAACGAUGCGUAGCCGAGCUGAGAGGGGGAUCGGCCACACUGGGACUGAGACACGGCCCAGACUCCGACGGGAGGCAGCAGUAGGGAAUCUUCCGAAAUGGACGAAAGUCUGACGGAGCAACGCCGCGUGAGUGAUGAAGGCUUUCGGGUCGUAAAACUCUGUUGUUAGGGAAGAACGAGUGCUAGUUGAAUAAGCUGGCACCUUGACGGUACCUAACCAGAAAGCCACGGCUAACUACGUGCCAGCAGCCGCGGUAA